AUAGUUAUGCUUCGAAUCUAGGAACGCGGACUGAAAAUCCGCGUGUCGGUGGUUCGAAUCCGCCUCUGGGCACCA
rnacentral:tRNA from 1 species